UACAGAGGUCUCGAGCGUUAGGCGGAAUCACUGGGCUUAAAGCGUGUGUAGGUGGAUCGUUAAGUACCUUGUGAAAUCCCACGGCUUAACCGUGGAACUGCUUGGUAUACUGGCGGUCUUGAGCCAGCUAGGGGCUACCGGAACAAAUGGUGGAGCGGUGAAAUGCGUAGAUAUCGUCUGGAACGCCGAAGGUGAAAACAGCUCGCUGGGGCCGCGCUGACGCUGAGACACGAAAGCCAGGGGAGCGAACGGG
rnacentral:rRNA from 1 species